GAUGAGGCUGCGAAGCGCUCCAUAAAUCGGUUAAAAUCUAUUCAAUUUUAGAUUGUCAUGGAUAACUUUGGCAAAUCUAAAGCUAAUACAUGUUUGAAUCUUAUUAUAAUUGUUUACAAUUAUGUAAGAUGCAUUUAUUAGUAAAAAAUUAACCGUUUAUGGCGACAUAAAUGAGUAUGAAAACGAAUAACUGGGGCGAAUCAGGUAUAAUACUAUCUGAUGUUAUGAGCGAUUUUCUGCUCUAUCAAUUAGUUGUUGGGGUAGUGGCCCAACAAGGUUGUAACGGAUAACGGGGAAUCAGGGUUCGAUUCCGGAGAGGGAGCCUGAGAAACGGCUACCACAUCCAAGGAAGGCAGCAGGCGCGUAAAUUACCCAAAUCCGAAUUUCGGGAGGUAGUGACAAAAAAUAUCAAAACAGGCUAAAUGUCUGUAUUUGAAAUGAGUUUAAUUUAACACAUUAAGCGAGAAACUAUUGAAGGGCAAGUCUGGUGCCAGCAGCCGCGGUAAUUCCAGCUUCAACAGUGUAUAAUAAUGUUGUUGCGGUUAAAAAGCUCGCAGUUAAAUGACAAAAGUAGCGAUUUAUAUGGUAAAUAUAUAUAUAACCUAUAUAAUAUGGUUACUUUUAUAUUGCAAAUAAUAUCAUGUUACUUUAUUGAAACAUGAUACUAAUUUGCAUAAUGUGCCUUGAGUAAAAUAGAGUGCUCAAAGCAAGCUUAUAUGCUAGCAUAAUAAAACAUGGAACGAACUAUGUUUAAUACAGCUUGGUUGGUUAUUAAAGCCUAAAUAAUAAUUAUAUUAAUAAUAUCAAAAUAUAUUAAUAGUUGUUGAUACAAUUAUUUUUUUGAAAUAAAAAAAAAAUUGUACUCAAAGAUUAAUAUAUAAAAAAAAUUUUGCUCUAUUAUUAAUUAAAUAUUAUUUGGGAACCAAGUUGAAUAAUGAUUAAAAGAAGCAAUUGUGGGCGUUAGUACUGGGCAGCGAGAGGUGAAAUUCGUAGACCUGUCCAAGACUUACUAAAGCGAAGGCAUACGCCAAGGUUGUUUUCAUUAAUCAGGAGCUAUCGUUGAGGGAUCAAAGACGAUUAGACACCGUCGUAGUCUCAACAGUAAACUAUGCCCACCUGAGGUUAGCCCAUUAUAUAAUCUUAUAGGUUGGCCUCCCAGAGAAAUCUCAAGUUUUUGGGUUCUGGGGGGAGUACUGUCGCAAGUCUGAAACUUAAAAGAAUUGACGGAAGGACACCACCAGGGGUGGAGCCUGCGGCUUAAUUUGACUCAACACGGGGCAACUUACCAGGUCCGCACAUUAAAAGGAUUGACAGAUUAAUAGCUCUUUCAUGAUAUAAUGCUUGGUGGUGCAUGGCCGUUCUUAGUUGGUGGAGCAAUUUGUCUGGUCAAUUCCGAUAACGAACGAGACUGUGAUCUCUAUUUUAUGACUCAUACUUGUAUAACAUUUAUUAAAUUAUUAUAUAUAUAAAAUAUUUAUAUAUGUAAAAAGAUAAUAAAUGUAAGGUGAGAUAAUAGAGAGACAACCGCGCGCUCUGAAGCCGGAGGAGGCGCAGCAAUAACAGGUCUGUGAUGCCCUAAGAUGUUCUGGGCUGCACGCGCGCUACAAUGAAGUUAACAAAAAGUUACUGCUUUGAAAAAGGUGGUCAAACAGUAAUUAACUUCAUAUUUGGGAUAGAGUACUGUAAUUGUGCUCUCAAACGAGGAAUCCCUCGUAAGUACGGGUCACCAACUCGUGCUGAAUAUGUCUAUGUCCUUUGUACACACCGCCCGUCGCUACUACUGAUUUAACGAUGUUUCGAAGAAUAGAGAUUUGAAAAGAAUUUAUUCUUUUUAAAGAACCAUUCUAUGCUAUGCUAGAGA
rnacentral:rRNA from 1 species